GGACCCGCACAAGCGGUGGAGCAUGUGGUUUAAUUCGAUGCAACGCGAAAAACCUUACCUACACUUGACAUACUUCGAAUUUUCUAGAGAUAGAUUAGUGCCUUCGGGAGCGAAGAUACAGGUGCUGCAUGGCUGUCGUCAGCUCGUGUCGUGAGAUGUUGGGUUAAGUCCUAUAACGAGCGCAACCCUUACCCUUAUUUGCCAGCGGUUAGGCCGGGAACUAUAAGGGAACUGCCGGUAAUAAGCCGGAGGAAGGUGGGGACGACGUCAAGUCAUCAUGGCCCUUACGUGUAGGGCUACACACGUGCUACAAUGGGAGAUACAGACGGUUGCUAAAGCGCGAGCUGGAGCCAAUCCGACAAAGUCUCUCGUAGUCCGAAUUGCAGUCUGGAACUCGACUGCAUGAAGCCGGAAUCGCUAGUAAUCGC
rnacentral:rRNA from 1 species